rnacentral:rRNA from 1 species
UACGGAGGGUGCAAGCGUUAUCCGGAUUCACUGGGUUUAAAGGGUGCGUAGGUGGGCAGGUAAGUCAGUGGUGAAAUCUCCGGGCUUAACCCGGAAACUGCCGUUGAUACUAUCUGUCUUGAAUAUAGUGGAGGUGAGCGGAAUAUGUCAUGUAGCGGUGAAAUGCUUAGAUAUGACAUAGAACGUCGAUUGCGAAGGCAGCUCGCUACGCUAUUAUUGACACUGAGGCACGAAAGCGUGGGGAUCAAACAGG